GGUCUAUGAAGCCUCCAUCAUCAAGCUAGCAGAAAUCCCACCUGUCCUUCUGGCUACAGAGCACUUACUUACCAAGCCCAUGAAAUCGAAUGCAGAUCUUCCUGAUGUGAGAUUUACAUAAAUAUGUCAAAGUCUCAACCUCAUGCUGCCCUCCCCCAUCCUCCUAAACCUGUGGAUACAAAUGCAGAUUUCCUUAAUGUUCAAUGGUGCGUGUUCUUCUAAUGGCCGCCUUCCCACUGGAGGUUUUGAUCCACAGCAAUUUAAAAGGUAAACAGCUUUGAAAGUCAGUUCAAAUGGUUAGCUAAUAGUAUUCUAAAAAGCCUACAACUCUGUCACCAGU